rnacentral:lncRNA from 1 species
UCCCAAUCAACAUACAUAGAUACCAUGCUAAAAUGGUUUAGCAUGAAAAAUUUCAAGAAAGGCUCUUCUGAUAGGUCAUGAAAUUUUUCUCUCGAAGAAAGAUUGUUCGACAACCCCUCAAGAGAGAGAGAGAGAGCCCUCAAGAGAGAGAGAGAGAGCAUAUGAGUAGAAUUUUAUAUACCUCGACAGUGGGUUGUAUAAUGUACGUCAUGACAUGUACA